rnacentral:rRNA from 1 species
UACAGAGGUCUCGAGCGUUGUUCGGAUUCAUUGGGCGUAAAGGGCGCGUAGGCGGCGGGGUAAGUCUGGUGUGAAAUCUCGGAGCUCAACUCCGAAAUUGCACUGGAUACUGCUCUGCUAGAGGGCUGGAGAGGAGAUCGGAAUUCACGGUGUAGCAGUGAAAUGCGUAGAUAUCGUGAGGAAGACCAGUGGCGAAGGCGGAUCUCUGGACAGCUCCUGACGCUGAGGAGCGAAAGCGUGGGGAGCGAACAGG